CGCGCGGUGAAUACGUUCCCGGGUCUUGUACACACCGCCCGUCAAGCCACGAAAGUCACCAACACCCGAAGUCCUAUCUUGUAUAGGCCUAAGGGUGGGGGGGGAUGAUUGGGGUU
rnacentral:rRNA from 1 species